rnacentral:misc_RNA from 1 species
GGCUGGAUCAUUAUCGAGCCAACAACAAAAAUACGAAUGAGAUUGUGUGGUAGGAGUUAGGUGCGGUACAUUGUGUAUGAUGUACGACUCGCACGCCACAGUGUUCCAACGGCUAACGGUUGGCGUCUAAUCGACUGCCCGAGCAGAUGUGCCCAUGUCCGUGUCUGCGUUGACGGGUCGAGAUACGCAUAGAGUCUACUACUCUAUGCGAAGACUUAAUGAGCCUCAGCGCUAGGGGCUGCCAACCACUCACUCAUUUUUCAAUGAUUUUUCUCGUAUUAACAAAGACAAAAUAUCAGUCUUACCGGUGGAUCACUCGGUUCGUGGAUCGAUGAAGAACGCAGCUAACUGCGAUAAGUAGCGUGAAUUGCAGACGCUUUGAACGUUAAACUUUCGAACGCACAUUGCGCCGUAGGAGUUCUACCCUGCGGCACAUCUGGUUGAGGGUCGUGAUCAAAAACUGCCCGAAUGUAGCAGUAUACAGAUAGCUGGCGAAUUACAAUGCAUUUUGUGGUUCGUCAUAACGCUAUAGAGGACAAUUCUCCACACGAGAGAGUUGCCUGCCACACGGAUGAUCUACUAGUUGACGCAGUAGAUCCCGGUCCCAGGUAUUAUGAGAACGUAUGCCAAGGGAUGCGCGGGGAUACAGCUAGUGGGAGAAUCUGUGCGUGCUAUAUGAGCUAUUCGAUUUCCCGACCUCAACUCAGGUGUGAUUACCCGCUGAACUUAAGCAUAUCAGUAAGCGGAGGAAAAGAAACUAACGAGGAUUCCCUUAGUAACGGCGAGUGAACGGGGAUGAGCCCAGCGCUAAAUCUCGUCGCUCUAACGGGUGCCGAGAGGUGUAGCGUAUAGUAGGUGAUUUUCCUUGUGGGCCGUCGACUUAAAUUCUCCUUGACUGGGGUUCCGUAGAAGGUGAAAGGCCUGUUCAGUCGAUGGCCCGCGUGGAUUCCGCACUACUCGGAGUCGGGUUGUUUGGGAACGCAGCCCAAAUUUGGUGGUAAACUUCAUCUAAGGCUAAAUACGGCCACGAAACCGAUAGCAAACAAGUACCGUGAGGGAAAGUUGAAAAGUACUUUGAAGAGAGAGUUCAAGAGGACGUGAAACCGGUAGGAUGGAA